rnacentral:rRNA from 1 species
UGAAUUUCGGGGUUAGUGCGCUGGUCAUGCCUCUGGUAUGUACUCGUCUCGCCGGACUCGACUUCCUGAUGAACCGUAAUGCCAUUAAUUUGGUGUUGCGGGGAAACUGGACUGUUACUUUGAAAAAAUUAGAGUGUUUAAAGCAGGCUAACGCUUGAAUACAUUAGCAUGGAAUAAUGAAAUAGGACGUUCGAUCCUAUUUUGUUGGUUUCUAGGAUUGACGUAAUGAUUAAUAGGGAUAGUUGGGGGCAUUAGUAUUCAAUUGUCAGAGGUGAAAUUCUUGGAUUUAUUGAAGACUAACUACUGCGAAAGCAUUUGCCAAGGAUGUUUUCACUAAUCAAGAACGAAAGUUAGGGGAUCGAAGACGAUCAGAUACC